AAAUCGAAGAGAGGGUAAAGGAACAGUACCAUUGCUGGAUAAUUGGAAAGUCCCUGUGUGUCAACCUCUGUGCUUCGUGGCAAGGUAGACUAGCAAACAUGCCCAACCUUUACUCACAUUCGAGAAAACACUCCCAACAAGAUUGCUUGCUCCAAAAUCGAAGAGGCACCGCCCUCCGAAUCUCGAGAGCCAGACUCCCAACAUGAUUACUUUCUCAAAAAUCGAAGAGACACUGCUUCCCGAAUCUUCGAGAGCCAGACCCCCAGCAUGAUUGCUUUCUCAAAAAUUGAUGAGGCAUCGUUCUCCGAAUCAAUCGAAGAGGCGCUCGCUUUCUCAAAAGCUGGGCUGCUCAGAGACCACGAGGGCCGAUCUCAGAAAUCGAAGAGGCACCUACUUUUCUAGCCUUGUCAGCACCUGUCACACGCAACAAUAGCUCAUGGGUACCACAGAUAACUUUGCCAAAGUUCUCUGCCAAAGUUGAGCACGUGAAGCUUGCAGCUCCCACUACAUCGCUCUGACCAAGAAAGGUAAAAGAAUAGCAAAGAAACAGCACUAACAAAGUUUAGACACAUAAAUUUUGAAGGUCUAGCUACCAUAUUAUUACCCAUAAGGGUAAAGGAACAGUACCACUGCUGGAUAAUUGGAAAGUCCCUGUGUGUCAACCUCUGUGCUUCGUGGCAAGGUAGACUAGCAAACAUGCCCAACCUUUACUCACAUUCGAGAAAACACUCCCAAUAAGAUUGCUUGCUUCAAAAUCGAAGAGGCACCGUCCUCCGAAUUUCGGGAGCCAGACUCCCAACAUGACUACUUUCUCAAAAGCGAAGAGAGGGUAAAGGAACAGUACCAUUGCUGGAUAAUUGGAAAGUCCCUGUGUGUCAACCUUUGUGCUUUGUGGCAAGGUAGACUAGCAAACAUGCCCAACCUUUACUCACAUUCGAGACAACACUCCCAACAGGAUUGCUUGCUCCAAAAUCGAAGAGGCACUGCCCUCCGAAUCUCAAGAGCCAGACUCCCAACAUGAUUACUUCCUCAAAAAUCGAAGAGACACUGCUCUCCGAAUUUCGAGAGCCAGACCCCCAGCAUGAUUGCUUUCUCAAAAAUCGAAGAGGCAUCGUUUUCCGAAUCUCGAGAGCCAGAUACCACAGACCACUUUUUCAAAGUGCUCUGACAGAGUUAAAACAUGUGAAACUGGCAGCUCCCACUACCGUGCUAUGACCAAGCAGGG
rnacentral:lncRNA from 1 species